rnacentral:rRNA from 1 species
GAGUUUGAUCCUGGCUCAGGAUGAACGCUGGCGGCGUGCCUAACACAUGCAAGUCGAGCGAAGCGCGCCCCGGAAUCCUUCGGGAGGAAGGGUCGCGACUGAGCGGCGGACGGGUGAGUAACGCGUGGGCAACCUGCCCCAUACAGGGGGACAACGGCCGGAAACGGCCGCUAAUACCGCAUGAUUCCUCUUGGCCGCAUGGCCGGGAGGGGAAAGCCGAGACGGUAUGGGAUGGACCCGCGUCUGAUUAGCUGGUUGGCGAGGUAACGGCUCACCAAGGCGACGAUCAGUAGCCGGCCUGAGAGGGCGACCGGCCACAUUGGGACUGAGACACGGCCCAAACUCCUACGGGAGGCAGCAGUGGGGAAUAUUGCACAAUGGGGGAAACCCUGAUGCAGCGACGCCGCGUGAAGGACGAAGUAUUUCGGUACGUAAACUUCUAUCAGCAGGGAAGAAAAUGACGGUACCUGACCAAGAAGCCCCGGCUAACUACGUGCCAGCAGCCGCGGUAAUACGUAGGGGGCAAGCGUUAUCCGGAUUUACUGGGUGUAAAGGGAGCGUAGACGGCCAUGCAAGUCUGAUGUGAAAACCCGGGGCUCAACCCCGGGACUGCAUUGGAAACUGUGCGGCUGGAGUGUCGGAGAGGCAAGUGGAAU